rnacentral:rRNA from 1 species
UACAGGGUAAGUGGUUUCCAAGAUCAACUGUGUUGUACGUUGCAAAAGAGGUUGAAGGUUGUCCACUCGGACGUCGUGUUCCUCGUCGACCACCUCAGAAGGCUCGACUUAUAAGGACCUCGGUCCGAUUCUAGGCUCAGUUCUCGGUGUGCGUGGAAGAGAGAGCUCGUGUGUUGGAGAAAAAGGGAGAGGUUUCUAGAGAGAGGAAACUGACCUAGCCGAGCGGGCGAGCUGGCGGUCCUGGUACAGCGACGGCUCCGGCCGCGGGCGGUCGCUGCUGUCCAACCUAGACCUGCCACACGAGCAUCGCGGAGAGUGGUAGACGUACUCGCCCCGCCACCUAAGUAGACGCUCGUGGAGUACCGGCUCUGGGGCCUGAGGCAGGAGCGGCAGCUGCAGAUGACGAUGUUCUAGGCGGCGGAGCAGCUGGGUGGGGGCGGGGUGGAGCGGGCGACGUCGUUGAAGGUGGAGGACUUGCAGUUCUUGUUGAGACCGGACCUCCCGGAGUAGUUCUACCAGCUAGACUCUCCUUCACCCUAGUUGGACGUCUCCUAAACCAGCGGCGCCGACGCCGCCGCUCUGACGGGUAGAAAGUUAAGGCACCGUGAUGACGUAUAGGACGGCGGUAGCGAGCAAGGUGGCCACGAAGUCUCACGACGACGACGACGACGACGUUAAGUCUUUGAUUCAGUCCGUUUUGAUCACCGACUCGAAUAUCGUGCUCUUUAACAAUAUUUACUACGACUAGUUAGACAUGCCGUAUUCGAGUGCUUUGCCGUUUGUGUUUUGCUCCGUCAGCUAGGGUUGUCGUCUUGUCGUUGAUACGAGCUCUAUCGUCCCUCCGACAGGUUCGAUCUUUUAUUUCCUACCUCCGGUUCCGCUUGUUAGUAGCAGACGUUAACCCUACGUCUUCUCAAACGCGACUGUACAGUUACAAACCCGGACCUUCAGAAUACGGGGCACGUUGUGCUGUUGAUACUUAAUUAGUUACUUCGUUCGUCUUACCAUGGGCUAGGACUACUAGGCAGAGUAUGGAAUCACCGGCCACGUCCUUGUCUAAAACGUCGAAAACAGCUCGUGUAACCUCAGGGAAGUGAACUGUAGAGAAUACCUAAUAAAAGUCUUAUGGGACAGAUGGUGAGCGAUAUGCUACUAAAACUAACCUACCUCGUCAAACCUCUGGGAAACAAGGUGUCUGUACAUUACUACUCUAGUAAGGGAAGUUAAUACAGGGGAUGCACAGACUUGACCUCCAUAAAAGAGAAGACCGUUGACUCUAUC